AUUGAACGCUGGCGGCAGGCCUAACACAUGCAAGUCGAGCGGAGCGGCGGACGGGGGAGUAAUGCCUAGGAUUCUGCCUGGUAGUGGGGGAUAACGUCAGGAAACGGGAGCUAAUACCGAAUACUAUCAGCUGAGGCUAAGUCGGAUUAGUAAGUUGGUGGGGUAAGGGCAUACGACGGCGACGAGCCGGAACUGGUACGAGAGUAUGAUCAGUCACACUGGAACGGAGACACGGUCCAGACGCCUACGGGAGGCAGCAGUGGGGAAUAUUGGACAAUGGGCUAAAUCCUGAUACAGCCAUGCCGCGUGAGUGAAGAAGGUCUUCGGAUUGUAAAGCACUUUAAGUGGCGAGGCGUUACCAACAGAAUAAGCACCGGCUAACUUCGUGCCAGCAGCCGCGGUAAUUC
rnacentral:rRNA from 1 species